UGCAAGUCGAACGGUAACAGGAAGCAGCUUGCUGCUUUGCUGACGAGUGGCGGACGGGUGAGUAAUGUCUGGGAAACUGCCUGAUGGAGGGGGAUAACUACUGGAAACGGUGGCUAAUACCGCAUAACGUCGCAAGACCAAAGAGGGGGACCUUCGGGCCUCUUGCCAUCAGAUGUGCCCAGAUGGGAUUAGCUAGUUGGUGAGGUAACGGCUCACCAAGGCGACGAUCCCUAGCUGGUCUGAGAGGAUGACCAGCCACACUGGAACUGAGACACGGUCCAGACUCCUACGGGAGGCAGCAGUGGGGAAUAUUGCACAAUGGGCGCAAGCCUGAUGCAGCCAUGCCGCGUGUAUGAAGAAGGCCUUCGGGUUGUAAAGUACUUUCAGCGGGGAGGAAGGUGUUGUGGUUAAUAACCGCAGCAAUUGACGUUACCCGCAGAAGAAGCACCGGCUAACUCCGUGCCAGCAGCCGCGGUAAUACGGAGGGUGCAAGCGUUAAUCGGAAUUACUGGGCGUAAAGCGCACGCAGGCGGUCUGUCAAGUCGGAUGUGAAAUCCCCGGGCUCAACCUGGGAACUGCAUUCGAAACUGGCAGGCUUGAGUCUUGUAGAGGGGGGUAGAAUUCCAGGUGUAGCGGUGAAAUGCGUAGAGAUCUGGAGGAAUACCGGUGGCGAAGGCGGCCCCCUGGACAAAGACUGACGCUCAGGUGCGAAAGCGUGGGGAGCAAACAGGAUUAGAUACCCUGGUAGUCCACGCCGUAAACGAUGUCUACUUGGAGGUUGUGCCCUUGAGGCGUGGCUUCCGGAGCUAACGCGUUAAGUAGACCGCCUGGGGAGUACGGCCGCAAGGUUAAAACUCAAAUGAAUUGACGGGGGCCCGCACAAGCGGUGGAGCAUGUGGUUUAAUUCGAUGCAACGCGAAGAACCUUACCUGGUCUUGACAUCCACAGAAGAAUCCAGAGAUGGAUUUGUGCCUUCGGGAACUGUGAGACAGGUGCUGCAUGGCUGUCGUCAGCUCGUGUUGUGAAAUGUUGGGUUAAGUCCCGCAACGAGCGCAACCCUUAUCCUUUGUUGCCAGCGGUCCGGCCGGGAACUCAAAGGAGACUGCCAGUGAUAAACUGGAGGAAGGUGGGGAUGACGUCAAGUCAUCAUGGCCCUUACGACCAGGGCUACACACGUGCUACAAUGGCGCAUACAAAGAGAAGCGACCUCGCGAGAGCAAGCGGACCUCAUAAAGUGCGUCGUAGUCCGGAUUGGAGUCUGCAACUCGACUCCAUGAAGUCGGAAUCGCUAGUAAUCGUGGAUCAGAAUGCCACGGUGAAUACGUUCCCGGGCCUUGUACACACCGCCCGUCACACCAUGGGAGUGGGUUGCAAAAGAAGUAGGUAGCUUAACCUUCGGGAGGGCGCUUACCACUUUGUGAUUCAUGACUGGGGUGAAGUCGUAACAAGGUAACCGUAGGGGAACCUGCGGUUGGAUCACCUCCUUACCUUAAAGAA
rnacentral:rRNA from 1 species